rnacentral:misc_RNA from 1 species
GCCUUACCUCUUAGGGUUUCCUCUGGGGUAAGUGAUUGCUUCUACACUGUGAAAAUUUGGCUGAGAGACUCAGACUGUCAUGGGUAGACCUAUCUGGGGUUUGAUCGAUGCCACUCCUGGUUUCAGGAGCACCCUUCAUAAUAAACCUAGAAAUUCAGUAUUAUAAAGUUUAAUAAAAAACAACUUUUAACAAUGGAUCUCUUGGUUCUCGCAUCGAUGAAGAACGUAGCAAAGUGCGAUAACUAGUGUGAAUUGCAUAUUCAGUGAAUCAUCGAGUCUUUGAACGCAGCUUGCACUCUAUGGUUUUUCUAUAGAGUACGCCUGCUUCAGUAUCAUCACAAACCCACACAUAACAUUUGUUUAUGUGGUAAUGGGUCGCAUCGCUGUUUUAUUACAGUGAGCACCUAAAAUGUGUGUGAUUUUCUGUCUGGCUUGCUAGGCAGGAAUAUUACGCUGGUCUCAGGAUCUUUUUCUUUGGUUCGCCCAGGAAGUAAAGUACAAGAGUAUAAUCCAGCAACUUUCAAACUAUGAUCUGAAGUCAGGUGGGAUUACCCGCUGAACUUAAGCAUAUCAAUAAGCGGAGGAA